UUGACCUCAAAUCAGGUAGGAUUACCCGCCGAACUUAAGCAUAUCAAUAAGCGGAGGAAAAGAAACUAACAAGGAUUCCCUAGAAC
rnacentral:rRNA from 1 species